rnacentral:rRNA from 1 species
UUUGAUCAUGGCUCAUAAUCCCUCUGGCGGCGUGCCUCAGACUUGCAAUUCGAACGCGAAAGUUCCCUUCGGGGAAGCGAGUAGAGUGGCGCACGGGUGAGUAACACGUGGGUAAUCUUCCUUUGGAUGGGGAAUAACAACCGGAAACGGUUGCUAAUACCGCAUAAUGCAGCGGCACCUAAUGGUGACAGUUGUUAAGCGGGGGAUCGCAAGACCUCGCUUCUAAGAGGAGCCCGCGGCGGAUUAGCUAGUUGGUAAGGUAACGGCUUACCAAGGCGAUGAUCCGUAGCCGGCCUGAGAGGGCGGUCGGCCACACUGACACUGACUUACGGGUCAGACUCCUACGGGAGGCAGCAGUCGGGAAUUUUGGGCAAUGGGCGAAAGCCUGACCCAUCAACGCCGCGUGAAGGAUGAAAUCCUUCGGGAUGUAAACUUCGCAAGAACGGGAAGAAUAAGCCGGUGUCAACACCACCGGUGAUGAACGGUACUGUUUGUAAGCUCCGGCUAACUCCGUGCCAACACCCGCUAUAAUACUGGGGGAGCAAGCGUUUGUUCGGAUUAACUGGGCGUAAUGGGCGCGUAGGCGGCCUCUGCAAGUCUACUGUGAAAU